CCUUUAUAUUCAUCCCAGACAAUUCCUUUUUCCCAAGUUCGUAGCACUCAUCUCACUGGCCUCAGCCGUGUUCCUCUCGGUUAGGGUUUUCGCUCAAGAAGUUGAUGUAGAUCUUGGAACUGGAAAUGUAGUCCCAAGACUUGUAGCGGGAUGGUUGCUGGUAUCAUCUGGCUUAAUCUACCUUUGAUCUUCUCUUUCAGGACAAACUGUGGAAGGAUUCAGCAUAAUAUAGAUUGUUUUGAAGUUCAAUUCCAAUAUUAAGCUGAUCCUAAAUCGUUUAAGAUCAUUCAACUAUGUAUGACUUAUUUUCAUAUCGGCGAUGAUAUUUGUUCUGGAGUAUGAUUUUAUAUGGUUAUCAAUUUCUUUGAAGUUAAAGGCUUCUUAUACCGUUGUAAUUCAAUGGUAUUCAAUUCAGAUGAUAUUUUCCUUUAAAGCAA